GUAAAAAAACUAUUGUAUCAGAAAUUGCUUAGUCAAUUUUCUAGUAACUUGUAAAUGGUACUCUCCAUGUAUCAUCUAGUUUUUUUAAAUCUUUCUUCUCUAGGUCUCUUACUAAAGCUUCCUGUUCAAAGUCUGGCUGAGAAUUUUUGCUGCUUCUUUCCCUACCUCCUCGUUUCCGAAGGAGGUACCUUUCUGGCUUCUCUGUUGAACAUUUCCUAAAUAAAGUGUGGAUGAAGAGCAAUAGAGGAGGGAAAUACAGAAAAUUAUAAGGCUG
rnacentral:lncRNA from 10 species